rnacentral:tRNA from 1 species
UCCCUGGUGGACUAGUGGCUAGCAUACAGCACUCUCAUUGCUAUGGUCCAGGUUUGAUUCCUGGUCAGGGGA